ACUGCUCAGUAACACGUAGCUAACCUACCCUCGGGACGCGGAUACCCCCGGGAAACUGGGGCUAAUACACGAUAGGUGUGGAGGCCUGGAAUGGUUCCACGCCCAAAGGCACGGCGAUCAUGUUUGUCGUGUGCCCGAGGAUGGGGCUGCGGCUGAUCAGGCAGUUGGCGAGGUAACGGCUCACCAAACCUUUGACCAGUACGGGCCAUGAAAGUGGUAGCCCGGAGAUGGGCACUGAGACAGGGGCCCAGGCCCUACGGGGCGCAGCAGGCGCGAAAACUCCACAAUGUACGGAAGUACGAUGGGGUUAUCUCGAGUGCAGUCCGAUAAGGGCUGCUUUUCCAUAGAGUAAUAUCCUGUGGGAAUAAGAGGGGGGCAAGACUGGUGUCAGCCGCCGCGGUAACACCAGCCCCUCGAGUGGUGGGGACUAUUAUUUGGCCUAAAGCGUCCGUAGCUGGCUGUAUCCGUCCCCCGUUAAAUCCAGCGUCCUAAGCGUUGGACUGCGGGUGAUACCAUACAGCUAGAGGGUGGGAUAGGUGAGCGGUAUUUCUGGGGUAGGGGCGAAAUCCUUUGAUCCCAGGAGGACCACCAGUGGCGAAGGCUGCUCACUAGAACACGCCUGACGGUCAGGGACGAAAGCUGGGGCAGCGAACCGGAUUAGAUACCCGGGUAGUCCCAGCUGUAAACGAUGCUAGCUAGGUGUUGGGUCGGCCACGUGCCGCCCCAGUGCCGCAGGGAAGCCGUUAAGCUAGCCGCCUGGGGAGUACGGCCGCAAGGCUGAAACUUAAAGGAAUUGGCGGGGGAGCA
rnacentral:rRNA from 1 species